UACGUAGGGUGCAAGCGUUGUCCGGAUUUAUUGGGUUUAAAGGGUGCGUAGGCGGGCUAUUAAGUCAGUGGUGAAAUCCAGCAGCUUAACUGUUGAUGUGCCAUUGAUACUGGUAGCUUUGAGUACAGAUGAGGUAGGCGGAAUUGACAGUGUAGCGGUGAAAUGCAUAGAUAUUGUCAAGAACUCCGAUAGCGAAGGCAGCUUACUGGGCUGUAACUGACGAUGAUGCACGAAAGUGUGGGGAUCAAACAGG
rnacentral:rRNA from 1 species